rfam:Desulfotomaculum ferrireducens strain GSS09, complete genome.
UAACCCAUGCAGAGAUGUAUGACUGAACCGGCAGGAGUCAGCAGAGGCCAUAGUACCUGCAAAGAGACGUCUGAGCAGGGAAGGGC